rnacentral:lncRNA from 1 species
UUUAGGACUAUUGUUCGAGCUAAAAACACUUGAAAAGCUGGAAAUUCAGGCGCAACGUGCAUAUGAAAAAAAAAAGACUUGGGCAAGGGGGCUUUUCGCAAGAUUUACGUACCGGUGCCAUUUCUCGCAAACUGCGUAUGCGGGCCCUGAAGCAGUUGGGUUUAUAAACAGGUCUGAGUACUUUUGCUCGCUCUUGCCGAGGUGACCACCGUGGACGCCGCAAGGAAAAGGAACAAUGACGUUCCUUAAGGUUGCCGUGCUCGCACUUGUUCUACACGUGGCGUUUGGUCGAUCAGGGAGUGGAUGUUCCGGUUGCACCAGAGGAUCGGGUGGAUGGACUGGCAAUGGAUGUUCCGGUUGCUCCGGUUUUUCGGGUGAGU